AUUGAACGCUGGCGGCAUGCUUUACACAUGCAAGUCGAACGGCAGCGGGGUAGUGCUUGCACUACUGUCCGGCGAGUGGCGAACGGGUGAGUAAUAUAUCGGAACGUACCGAGUAAUGGGGGAUAACCAAUCGAAAGAUUGGCUAAUACCGCAUACGUCCUGAGGGAGAAAGCGGGGGAUCGCAAGACUUCGCGUUAUUCGAGCGGCCGAUAACUGAUUAGCUAGUUGGUGGGGUAAAGGCCUACCAAGGCGACGAUCAGUAGCGGGUCUGAGAGGACGAUCCGCCACACUGGGACUGAGACACGGCCCAGACUCCUACGGGAGGCAGCAGUGGGGAAUUUUGGACAAUGGGGGCAACCCUGAUCCAGCCAUGCCGCGUGUAUGAAGAAGGCCUUCGGGUUGUAAAGUACUUUUGUUAGGGAAGAAAAGGGAAGUGCUAAUACCACUUUUUGCUGACGGUACCUAAAGAAUAAGCACCGGCUAACUACGUGCCAGCAGCCGCGGUAAUACGUAGGGUGCGAGCGUUAAUCGGAAUUACUGGGCGUAAAGCGAGCGCAGACGGUUAUUUAAGCAGGAUGUGAAAUCCCCGGGCUUAACCUGGGAACUGCGUUCUGAACUGGAUAGCUAGAGUGUGUCAGAGGGGGGUAGAAUUCCACGUGUAGCAGUGAAAUGCGUAGAGAUGUGGAGGAAUACCGAUGGCGAAGGCAGCCCCCUGGGAUAACACUGACGUUCAUGCUCGAAAGCGUGGGUAGCAAACAGG
rnacentral:rRNA from 1 species